GGUCAAAGUUUACAACAGGGACAUUUGUUGGAGACGGACGUACUUUAAAACUGUGCACGAGUUUACAACUGCAUCAUCUCGUUCUCCACGACUAGUUUGAGUUUGUUUUUUGUUUUUUUACACUACUGACCAGACCAACCAGACAUCCCGCAAAAUGGCUGCAUGGGCGCUGCAACAGAACAUCGGCAUUUUCGUGUCCACGCAGAACGAAACGAGAGCGACUGUGUGCGUUUUCACGCGGCAACACUACGUCCUGCAGUCAGAAUAACAGGGGGAAAAAAGACUGAAAAAUUCCAGGUUCGCAGGCAGUGUAAAAGCGGUUGUUGUGGACACUCUGUCUCCUUUUCCACUGAGCAAAGAUGGCGCUAGAUAACAAAAGCUUCACAUCGGGCUUG